UCAGUUUUCUCUUCUUUGAGGCAUGGUAGUAUAAAAGGUUGAACUUAACUGUUGCAGGUCACCACCUGUGGCAAAGAUUAGCAGGGAGUGCAAGGUUGUUGUCGGAUGCUCAGGAAUGCAGCGGGAGUUCGCCUGUUCUCGGCUUCCUGUUCGGAGUUGUAUAGUGCCACCCCUGUAGACUCCACUGGCAGCGGGAUCCAGGUCCAACUCCAGGAUAUUUGAUUCAGUAAUCAGCUUCAGUUCCAAGUUUCAGUGCUUCAGAAAUAUUGGUUUUGUCUGCUCGAGGUCGGCCAUGGAGGUUUGGCCCGACCAAUGGAUGGAUGGGGAUGAAACCCUAGGCCAACACCCACCCAUGGAUGGAUGGGAUGGGGCGACGACGACGGCAACAACGGCCUUCUCUCGGUGCUUGCUGAUGUGGUUGCCAUCGACGCCGGCGACGAGUUGCAGCACGUAGACAUCAAAGGCUGCGGGUGUGACGGAGGAGCACCAUGGCGGGCGUGCAGGCCAUGUCUCUCUAUGUUGAACAAUAGGUUAAGGGAGCAUUCCUCAAUUUUUUUGGGGUCCAAUGGAACAGCAGGAGUGUGGAGAAUUAACGCACUCGAGGACUCUGGAAUAUGGAUGGAGAGAACGACAGUUGAAGACAUGGAUAUUGUUGUCCGAGCACAUAUAAAGGGAUGGAAGUUUCUGUUAUGGUUUAUGACUUUUUUGUAUGGCAUUCAUAUCUUUACUGAUCAUUCAAGCAGUGCUACACGCAUUUCCAUUCAGUGUUAGUGUGAAUUGCUGGAGCACAAUAUGACUCAUGCUCAUCUCCAUGUCAAUGCUAGGAGGAGAAAAACUACAUUCAGAGGUUACGGAAUGGCAAUGGGUGGGUUACCUCCCAGGAGCAGAUGACUGGCAUGGUUAGUGAUCACUAGGCCAUGAAUCUCAUGGAUCCCAUGAUACAGGUAUCUGGUCCAGAUCCGACGGAGACAAGCAAAAUCGUGCUCUUGCUUCUUCUUUCGAUUGAAAAUCCAGGUGAAACCUUUCAGGAACUCAGGACGACACGCAUUGAUUAUAUUUCAUUGUGAUGGCUGCUGCCGACACAGCUACUAUGGGUACACGCAACUUCUAUUUCGCUCGUCACCGGAAACCACCGCCCAGAUCCAUCUCUUCUCAACCAUGCCGACGUGGUGGUCAGGGGUGCUUACAACUUGUGAGGACCUGCGUUCUCGCUGUUGAUCCGUGAUGGCAUGGCCUCCCCGUGCCCUAGUCGCGUUCUAGCUGAUGGUUUGGGUCCACCAGCGGAGGGAGAGGGGGACGACCUCUGUCGCUCCUUCUCUCUAGCCUCUUCAUCUUGAUGAAGCCGUAGGAGUAGAGGGGCACACGCGUAAUGGAUCUGCUCCAAGCACCUCAAGCCACACAUCUUCAAGGUGAUCACUUCAUCCACAUCCAAUGUCAGUUUCCACGUUUACUCCUUUUUUGGGGUGGAUGGAUGCAUGAUACUCUGAUAGUAGCAGGCAGUUGUAGUACAUACUACAAAUUGGCACGCUGAAACUAGCCUGCAAUUUUCUCGGAAAUUUUUAUGUCACAUGCUAGUGGAGUGGAUUAUAACAUUUCAGUGGAACAAAUUGUAGGUAUUUCUUGUUUGCUUCUCAAAGAAAAGGAUGUUAUAUUAACUUGGUGUUGCUGUUCUUGGUAGGAUGAACAAAUAGCACCUUGCAGGCUCUUGAUUUUUUCUGUGAUUCCCUUUGAAAGGAUAUAAGUUUGCAGUUUUUCUAUCAGUUCUUCUGAAGCAAACAAUAUGUGAUGGAUAGCUACAAUUAUAGCUUCUUUUUAUAUUAUUGUCCUG